rfam:Hordeum vulgare subsp. vulgare, WGS project CAJW01000000 data, contig: morex_contig_139472
UAAAUACUCCCUCCGUCCCAAAAUUUUUGUCUUAGAUUUGUCUAGAUAUAAAAAUGUCUAGUUACAUUUUAGUAUUUAGAUACAUCCAUUUUUAGACAAACCUAAGACAAGAAUUUUAGGACGGAGGGAGUAGGAU